UGGUCGGUGGGCCAGAAGCGCGCGGAUCUUCACGUUGUGAAUCCGACUGAGACUUGCGCCAGCCUGGGGUGAGACACCAGCCUUCGAAAAACCUCCGGGUGGCGGCGAGUGUUAGUUACGCAUUGUCGUGGAGUGGCUCUGGCCCUUUCCUCGCGCGCCCGCACUCCCUCCGCCCAGCCCCGGCCCCAGAGUGGUGGCGGGUUCUGGCCGUUUGACCCGCGCUCAAGAGCCGCCAGCGCCCGAAAGCCUCUGAUUGAACUGGAAGCUUUGCUUUAAGGUGAGGGCUGUUGGAGGCAGGAGCUCGGUGACCUGUUGCUCUGCUCUUCAUGGAGGACAGAGGUCCACCAGUUUUUGCUGAGGACUGGAAAUGUUUGUCUGAGAGUCCUCCUGUCCAAGAAGGCCCAGCGGCCCAGGCUACCUUUGAGCCCAGCAAGCCACUCUCCAUAGCCCACAAACACCUGAGCAGGAAGAAUGGGCUUUCUAGACUCUGCCAGAGCCGAAUGGCGCUCUCUGAGGACAGGUGGAGCUCUUACUGUCUUUCAUCAUUGGCUGCCCAAAACAUCUGCACAAGCAAACUGCACUGCGCUGCUGCACCUGAGUAUGCUGACCCUACAGCUGGGCCACUGGGCAGUACUUCCUGCUGCUCCUUGCUGCGUGGCCUGGCUUCAGGAUGCUCUGGGUCCCUGCUUUCGACCCCUGUGUGCAACCCCAACAAGGCUGUCUUUACCGUGGAUGCCAAGACCACAGAGAUUCUGGUUGCCAACGACAAAGCCUGCAGCCUCCUAGGGUAUAGCAGUCAUGACCUGAUUGGCCAAAAGCUCGCCCAAUUCUUCCUCAAAUCUGAUUCCGAGGUGGUGGAAGCCCUCAGCGAGGAACAUGUGGAGGCUGAUGGCCACGCUGCAGUGGUGUUCGGCACAGUGGUGGACAUCGUCAGCCGAAUUGGGGAGAAGAUUCCAGUCUCUGUGUGGAUAAAGAGAUUGCAGCAAGAUCGUGGCUUGUGCUGUGUAGUGGUUCUGGAGCCUGUGGAGAGAGUGUCAGCCUGGGUCGCCUUCCAGAGUGAUGGAACUAUCACAUCAUGCGACAGUCUCUUUGCUCAUCUCCAUGGGUUCACAUCUCCAAAGGAUGUAGUUGGGCAGUGUGUCAUAGACUUGAUUCCAUCCAUGCAGCUCCCUCCUCCUGGCCAACAUAUCCCAAAGAGUCUCAAGAUUCAAAGGUCUGUUGGGAGAGCCAGAGACGGCACCACCUUCCCUCUCAGUUUGAAGCUGAAAUCCAAGCCCAGUGGAAGGGCUGUAGCUGACAGUGAGGCGGCCUCUGAACCAGGUUACCAGGCUUCUGUGUGGGUGUUCUGCACCAUCAGUGGCCUCAUCACUCUGCUGCCAGAUGGCACAAUUUAUGGAGUCAACCACAGCUUUGCACUAAUGCUGUUUGGUUAUGGAAAGACAGAGCUCCUGGGCAAGAAUAUCACUUUCCUGAUUCCUGGUUUCUACCACUACAUGGACCUCACAUAUGAUAGUUCGGUACAGCUGCCAGAUCUGGUCAAUUGCCUCGACAUUGGCAGAAAGAGUGGGCCUGGGGAGAUGAACUCUGAUGCCCAACACAACUGGGAACUGGCCAGUGGGGCCCAGGGUCCAAGAAUUGACGUGGUGUUGGCACGGGACCACAUGCCAUCACAAGAUGAGACCCUGAAGCUGGUGGGAGGACAAGUCUCCUCUAGGACUCAGACACGAUUGGAAACUGGAUACAAGAUACUUCCUUCUUCUGCAUGUCAGCCCUCACUGGGGGUGGACAGCAACCCAGAGGAUGGUGAGCAGUCAUUGCUCACAGACCAGCAAAGCAUUCCAAAGAGAAACCUGCCAGCCCAUGGUGGUCAGAACCAGCUAGACACCUCAGAAAUAUCCCUACCAGUCCUUAAAGAACAUUUAUUGUCUGAAAUUCAGAAAAAUAUCUCAGAAGAAAGCCCACUAACCCACAGGAAAUGGUUAUCCAAGGUGCAACAAAACCCCACAAAAGGAAGCCUGCCCAUCCACGAGGAGCAGCUAUUGUUUGCAGGCCAGCAUAUCCAUGUCUUGGGAAAGGAGGAUCCUUCAGCAGCAGAGAGCUACAGGGAGAGUCUUUUAGAAGAAAGCAAGUCCAAACCAGUGGAUGCAAAACUGUUUGCUUCAUGUGAAGAUUCUGAGCCUCUAGUUUCAGUUAAGGACAGGGGCAGCAGUGUGGACACGUGUAAUCUGCAUCAGGAAGCUCAGUUGGAGCUGAUGGGUGUCAGCAGUCCUAACCCCUGGGCUGAUGCCACCAUGCCUGAGCCCCACACCACAGGGCAGAUAGCAGGCGGGAGCCUUACAUAUUGCCCACAGUACAGAAGCGAGUGGGCCUCACAGCAGCGAGGCCAGGACUCGGCUCCCAGCCCCUCUGGAAUGGCGUGUGUCUUGCUUGGGACACCCACUCUGGAUGAACCAUGGCCAGGAGUGAGAAAUGACAGAGAAGAGCUGCAGACUUGCUUGAUUAAGGAACAGUUAUCCAAGUCAAGCUGUGAGGGAAAUCUGGGCAUCUCCCGUGUGGAACUCGUUCCUGAAGAACAUCCUCCUUUCACCGCCCCCGUGUCUUUCUGUGAUCUGGGAGGCCGAGAUCUACACGCUAGCCGCUCAGGCAGCUCCUCAGCCUGCUAUGCUUUGGCCACCGACCUCCCUGGUGUCCUGGAGGCAGUGGAAGCUCAGGAGGCUGAUGUGAAUUCUUAUUCCUGGAACCUCAAGGAGCUCUUUCUCAAGGACCAGACAGACAGAACUCCAUCACAUUGUUCCUGUACCACAUCUGAACUCAGCGAGGCGCCAUCUCUUUCAGUGGUGGGGUCAGAUUUAGAUGUGGGUAUUCUGCAUAGGCAGACUUCAGAUAUUUUAGUUGACCGAGAGAUGUUGCUCCUUACUGGGACCUAUUUUGACCUUAGUGAAGGCCAACGGUUCCAGGAGAUGGGAGCAGGACAUGAUCGAGCAGAACUGUCUAACAUUUCUUUGGUAUCCUCUGAACACUAUGAAACUAGUGACAUAGAAAGCCCAGGUUGUGACCCUCCCUUACCAGAUCCUGGUCCCAACGAUAUGUGCCUAUCAGCAGAGAAGCCCAGGCCGAGUGCCCAGAUCACUUCCACUCCUGUGGCACGUGGGGCCACCAGCCUGCAGCAGGAGAUCCAAGAGGGCAUCUACUCUGGAAGCUGCUACCACCGGGAUGGCUUACAACUGAGUAUACAGUUUGAAGUCAAGCGUGUGGAGCUCCAGGGCUCUGCGACCCUGUUCUGCUGCUGGCUGGUGAAGGACCUCUUCCAUAGCCACCGGGACUCAGCCACACGAACCCGCCUGUUCCUUGCCAGUCUGCCUAGCUCUACCCACUCCAUGCCUGAGCUGUCUGGAUCCAGCUUUGGAGAGGUGCUCAGAGCCAAGCCUUGGUUUGAGGAAUCCCCAACACCUGCAGAGCUAGAGGGGCUGGCGGCCUGUGAGGGCGAGUACGACUAUAAGUAUAACACCAUCAGCCCACUUGGCAGUGGGGCCUUUGGCUUUGUGUGGACUGCAGUGGAGAAGGAAUGCAACAAAGAGGUGGUGGUGAAGUUUAUUAAGAAGGAGAAGGUUUUAGAGGAUUGCUGGAUUGAGGAUCCCAAACUUGGAAGAGUUACUUUAGAGAUUGCAAUUCUGUCCAAGGUGGACCAUGCCAACAUAAUCAAGGUUCUGGAUAUAUUCGAAAACCAAGAGUUCUUCCAGCUGGUGAUGGAAAAGCACGGCUCUGGCAUGGACCUCUUUGCUUUCAUUGACCACCAUCCCUGCUUGGAUGAGCCCCUGGCGAGUUUCAUCUUUCGACAACUAGUGUCUGCUGUAGGAUACCUGCACUCCCAAGGCAUCAUCCAUAGAGACAUCAAGGAUGAGAACAUUGUGAUUGCUGAGGACUUCACAAUUAAGCUGAUAGAUUUUGGCUCAGCUGCCUACUUAGAGAGGGGCAAACUAUUUUAUACCUUUUGUGGAACAAUCGAAUACUGUGCACCUGAGGUUCUCAUUGGAAAUCCAAAGUUAGAAAAAUAGAAAACAAAGAGGAAAGUCUCAAAAGAUGGAAUUCUCGAGUGAUUCCUCUGUAACUUGCUCUACAGAGGGCCAGAGCUGGAGAUGUGGUCUCUGGGGGUCACCCUGUACACGCUCAUCUUCGAGGAGAAUCCCUUCUGUGAGGUGGAGGAGACCAUGGAGGCAGUUAUUCAUCCCCCAUUCCUGGUUUCCCAAGAACUUAUGAGUCUUCUGUCUGGACUGCUGCAGCCUUGCCCUGAGCAGCGGACCACUUUGGAGAAGCUGAUCAGGGACCCCUGGGUGACACAGCCUGUGAACCUUGCUAGCUAUACUUGGGAAGAGGUGUGUAGGACCAACCAGCCAGAAAGUGGCCUGCUGUCAGCUGCAAGUCUGGAGAUUGGGAGUAGGAGUCCAAGUGAAAUGGCUCAGAGAGAGGGUCUCUGUGGGCCUCCUGCUCCCAGGGAGACUCGUGGUGACCAGCACUGCUUGCAUCUUAAGGACCCCUCUUUGCCAGUCAGCUGAGCAAGCUCUCCUGCUCUUUGGUUUGGGCAGUUGUAUGGAUUUCAGGGCUUUCUACCUGGAGAAAGGAAGUUGUGAAGGAUUGGGAUGACUUCUGCUUCUAGAUUCCUAUGCAAAUGCUACAAGAGCCUGCGAUGCUAGUUUUCUUAGGUUUAUGAUAUAGACUUGUAAUUCAUGUUUUUUUAUAACCUUGAAAAUCAUUCUAAUGUUCAGUUAUACUGUACUAUUAAAGGGCUUUAAGUUGUAAGCCUCAGAAAGACACAAGGAGUGUUUAAGUUCUCUAUUUUUGUUGUUUGUUUUUGCUUGUAAGUUUUUGAGACAGGAUCUCACCAUGUAACUUUGGCUGGCCUGGAACUCAACUAUGUAGACCAGGUAGACCUUAAACUGACAGAUCUGCCUGCGCUUGCCUCCCAAGCAUUAGGACUGAUGGUGUGUGUCACCAUGCCCAGUUCUUCCUGGUUUUGUGUGUAGGUUUCUUUCCCACUGACUUGGUACAUGUGACAUGUGACAGAUGUAUGGAGUCUAUAGAAGUGGCCAGACAAAAAUGGCCAGAAUAUUUAUUUAUUUUCUUAAAAAUUUUCCAAAUUAAAGCUACUUAGUUAACAGUUAAACUGGCCAGGACUAUAUGAGAUAAACUUGGUUUUCUAUUUC